rnacentral:lncRNA from 1 species
CCCACGAUAGCCUCUCCUCUCCGAGUCCUGCUCCCGCUGUCUUCAUUGGCGGAACAUGCGUCGGCGGUCUUGAAUCCCUUGUGGCUCUCCACCUUAGUGGACACCUAGUCCGCAAGCUCGUCGAAGUUGGCGCUCUCUGGGUAUGAUACACAUAAUUAAUAGCAUAAGAAAAAAAAAUAUAAUCAAGCUGCCAUUUUUUUAUGCUUCCCAAAUCUGGGUUUUCCUUGUUAAAACUUCUUUGUAAGUUGAUCAUAAAAUUAGGCAGUCCAGUCCCCCCUCACCCCCCCCCCCAAAAAAAAAACAAUUUCUGCUUUUUCUUCCCUACUAGCUUUUUUGGUCAAAGAAAGCAUAUUGAAGAUAGUAUUUUAGGGAAAUUGUAGUAAUUAAAUCAAAUUAAUGAAAUUGUAUUGUAUGUGUGAAAUUUCUUCUUCUUUUUUUUCUGUUGAAUUUGAGGGUUUGAGGGAACUUACUCCGGUGACCCAGGGGGUUGAUCUGAGUUAGUACAAUGAGCAAUGAGUGGAAUGGGACCCAUUAAAGGUGGGGUCCGUUGCCAAUUAUUGAGCAAUCAGAGCCGUUAAAAUUUGUUCCAGGUGGGCUCUAGAUGAAAAAGAAUGGUUAAUAAUGUGAUCUGGGGGGGAGUGUUGGUAUUAGAACAAGAGGAGGAGGAGGUUUUUAAUUUUUGUUAGCGAUGCUUUUUACUGACAAUGACGAGCUCCAAUCAAAGAGGGCAU